rnacentral:rRNA from 1 species
CUGAUAAUUUAUUAAAGGGCUGCAGUAUUUUGACUGUACAAAGGUAGCAUAAUCAAUAGUCUCUUAAUUGGUGACUUGUAUGAAAGAUUGGAUGAGAUAUAGACUGUCUCUAAUUUAUAUAAAGAAUUUAAUUUUUUAAUUAGAAAGUUAAAAUGAGUUUAAAAGACGAGAAGACCCUAUAGAGUUUUAUAUUUAGAUUUAUUAAAGUUAUAUUUAAGUUUAAUAAUUAAGAUUAAUUUAUAAUAUUUUGUUGGGGUGAUAAAAAAAUUAAAUUAACUUUUUUUAUAAAUUUUCAUUAAUAAGUGAGUAAUUGAUCCAAAAUUUUUGAUUAUAAGAAAAAAUUACCUUAGGGAUAACAGCGUAAUUUUUUUUUUUAGUUCAAAUAAGAAAAAAAGUUUGCGACCUCGAUGUUGGAUUAAAAUAAAAUUUAUAUGCAAAAGUAUAAAAUUUUGAUCUGUUCGAUC